UACGGGGGGGGGCAAGCGUUGUUCGGAAUUACUGGGCGUAAAGGGCUCGUAGGCGGCCAACUAAGUCAGACGUGAAAUCCCUCGGCUCAACCGGGGAACGACGCAUGAAACUGGCAAGCUAGAGUACCAAAGAGGGUGGUGGAAUUCCCGGUGUAGCGGUGAAAUGCGUAGAUAUCUGGAGGAACACCGGUGGCGAAGGCGGCAUUCUGGACCGAAACUGACACUGAGGCGCGAAAGCCAGGGGAGCAAACGGG
rnacentral:rRNA from 1 species